AAGAAAUCGUUUUGCAAAGCUUUGUUACUUCAACAACUAAGGAAACUAAUUCAAAUUAGAAUUGAUCUUUAUGUAGUUAGAUGUUGAAAUUAUUGUCUUUUGAUAUACUUUGAUUUGAAUUUCAUUUGAGUGAGACCAAAUCAUUUGAUUUAUUAUUAAAUUGUUGAAAGUAUUUAUUGUAUAUUACUAUUACUUUCUUCUUUGGUU
rnacentral:lncRNA from 1 species